AUUGAACGCUGGCGGCAGGCCUAACACAUGCAAGUCGAACGGUAACAGGAAACAGCUUGCUGUUUCGCUGACGAGUGGCGGACGGGUGAGUAAUGUCUGGGAAACUGCCUGAUGGAGGGGGAUAACUACUGGAAACGGUAGCUAAUACCGCAUAACGUCGCAAGACCAAAGAGGGGGACCUGCGGGCCUCUUGCCAUCGGAUGUGCCCAGAUGGGAUUAGCUAGUAGGUGGGGUAACGGCUCACCUAGGCGACGAUCCCUAGCUGGUCUGAGAGGAUGACCAGCCACACUGGAACUGAGACACGGUCCAGACUCCUACGGGAGGCAGCAGUGGGGAAUAUUGCACAAUGGGCGCAAGCCUGAUGCAGCCAUGCCGCGUGUAUGAAGAAGGCCUUCGGGUUGUAAAGUACUUUCAGCGGGGAGGAAGGGAGUAAAGUUAAUACCUUUGCUCAUUGACGUUACCCGCAGAAGAAGCACCGGCUAACUCCGUG
rnacentral:rRNA from 1 species